rnacentral:tRNA from 1 species
GCUCCUGUAGCCCAACUGGUAGAGGCGGCUGUCUCAAAAACAGUCCAUGUGCGAGUUCAAAUCUCGCUAGGAGUACCA